rnacentral:lncRNA from 1 species
GCGGGCCCUCUGGGCGGGACCUUCGGGAAUCUCCCGCUGCAACCGGAGCCUUCUGGAUUCAUUUGCGCCUCCCCUCCCUCUUACCACUUCGUUCCAGCUUCUCAUCCUGAGCUACAGACAUUUUAAAUCUAGAUCGGAAGAGCAAGGCGUUAACCAAGGCCAAAUGGUUGAGCCAACAAUUCAUCCCUUCAGCAAGCGUUUAUCGAGCACUUACUGUGUAGCAAGCCCUGUGCCAGGUCUUGGGCAGGAGGUCCAUGAAGUAUGCUGCUGGGAUUUCAGUUGGGAUUGCAUUGAAUCUAUAUAGCAGUUUUGGAAGUAUGGCCAUUUUCACUAUGUUGAUCCUUCCUACCCAGGAGCAAGGCUGCAGGCUGCUGGGACCCAUGAACAUAAGGAGUGAGGAGGAGGCAAGGAGAGGCAACUUGGAGGAUGUGUUCCCAGAUCUCUGGAUCCAACAGCCUUGGCCUUGAGCCUAGUGUAGUGUGAGGAGUCCAGUCCUCUCUCAGUUCCUCCAGCGCCCUGAGCCCUAAGUUUGAGUGCUUCUGCUUGCUGCCUUCCCAUCUACCAGCAAAA